AGCGAACGCUGGCGGCAGGCCUAACACAUGCAAGUCGAACGGGCUCUUCGGAGCUAGUGGCGGACGGGUGAGUAACACGUGGGAACGUGCCUUUAGGUUCGGAAUAAGCCCGGGAAACUGGGUCUAGUACCGAAUGUGCCCUUCGGGGGAAAGAUUUAUCGCCUUUAGAGCGGCCCGCGUCUGAUUAGCUUGUUGGUGAGGUAAUGGCUCACCAAGGCGACGAUCAGUAGCUGGUCUGAGAGGAUGACCAGCCACAUUGGGACUGAGACACGGCCCAAACUCCUACGGGAGGCAGCAGUGGGGAAUCUUGCGCAAUGGGCGAAAGCCUGACGCAGCCAUGCCGCGUGGAUGAUGAAGGUCUUAGGAUUGUAAAAUCCUUUCACCGGUGAAGAUAAUGACUGUAGCCGGAGAAGAAGCCCCGGCUAACUUCGUGCCAGCAGCCGCCGUAACAC
rnacentral:rRNA from 1 species